ACUGCUCAGUAACACGUGGACAACCUGCCCUUAGGUUGGGUAUAAACCCGGGAAACUGGGUAUAAUACCCGAUAGGUCUCGAUUGCUGGAAUGCAUCGAGAUUUAAAGCUCCGGCGCCUAAGGAUGGGUCUGCGGCCUAUCAGGUAGUAGUGGGUGUAGCGUACCUACUAGCCUACGACGGGUACGGGUUGUGAGAGCAAGAGCCCGGAGAUGGAUUCUGAGACACGAAUCCAGGCCCUACGGGGUGCAGCAGGCGCGAAAACUUUACAAUGCUGGCAACAGCGAUAAGGGAACCUCGAGUGCCAGGUUACAAAUCUGGCUGUCGAGAUGCCUAAAAAGCAUUUCAUAGCAAGGGCCGGGCAAGACCGGUGCCAGCCGCCGCGGUAACACCGGCGGCUCGAGUGGUAACCGUUAUUAUUGGGUCUAAAGGGUCUGUAGCCGGCCGGAUAAGUCUCUUGAGAAAUCUGGCAGCUUAACUGUCAGGCUUUCAGGAGAUACUGUCUGGCUCGAGGCCGGGAGAGGUGAGAGGUACUUCAGGGGUAGGGGUGAAAUCUUGUAAUCCUUGAAGGACCACCAGUGGCGAAGGCGUCUCACCAGAACGGACCUGACGGCAAGGGACGAAAGCUAGGGGCACGAACCGGAUUAGAUACUCGGGUAGUCCUAGCCGUAAACGAUACUCGCUAGGUGUCGGCCACGGUGCGACCGUUGUCGGUGCCGUAGGGAAGCCGUGAAGCGAGCCACCUGGGAAGUACGGCCGCAAGGCUGAUACUUAUAAGGAAUUGGCGGGGGAGCAC
rnacentral:rRNA from 1 species